CUUUGCACAUAAAGCCCUUCUGAGAAAAGCUGAUUGCAUUGUGCUCUGAGCAUGUGAACUGAAGAGGUUCAGUAAUGAAGGUGCCUAAGAUUAUCGCUUUACUAAAGAGCUGUCACCCUGGAUCAGAGCUGUGGUGAUUCAUUGGCUUAAUG
rnacentral:lncRNA from 12 species